CAUACUACCUUGAAUAAAAUUAACCACCUCAAUUGGGUGCGUCUUAAUAAUUACAAAUCCUGUGGAACAGUUUCCGGAGGGUUUCGGAUUUUAAACAACUGCAUCAGCAGUUUUCGGAUCAGGAUGAAAUGCACCUCAGCUCGAUGAGCAAUCGAGCUACGAUGAUCGUACACAUUAUUAUCUCGAUUCGCCCCACGCGCGUGAUAGACAAACAAAGAUCAGAGUCGCCUUGAUCCGAUCUUUUGGGGAUUAAAAUUCUUCUAGUCUUAUCUAAGAAAAGACAAUCUUACGAACGUGUGUUUUACAGCAAUCAGUUGAACUAGGUAGGCUCGGUUCAUCUCACAUGUUAAAAAACGCGGGAGCGCCAACAAAUUCGCAAUAAUAAAAUUUUAAUAAUAAAAUCACAAAUUAAAUAAAAAAUACCAACGCUAUUGGCAGACAAAAUUGCGGAGGAUCGUGAGAAACGUAGUUCUGAGCUCAAUUUAUUGUUGGAAAAGUUUGAACGGAUCAGGAGUCAUCGGCUUUAAAAACUGCAUCAAGUUCAAAGUGGAUCGAAAAUAAAGUGGAUCAUGUGAUUUUUUUUCGUGUCUAGGAGAUAGGGUGCUUUCAAGUCUUGUAGGAGGUGUUGAAAAAUAAAAGGAUUUCAUCCAGUUAAAAGUAGAU